GUGAUAUGUUGCAUUAUAACAAUCUAGUAAAAAGCAUUCAUUGGAGGCUUCAUGACUGAUGGCUGGCUAACUUGUUGGCAGAUAACAAGUGUCACCUUAGAAGGCAUUGAAUGCUAUAGGUGCUAGAGGAGAGGAUUUCUUGUAUUAGAUUAAAGGGAUCCUAUAGGACCAGGAAAACAAACCCGUUUUCCUGGCAUUAUAGUUAUAGGCUCCUGGAAUGCCCCCCCUCCCUCCAAC